rnacentral:rRNA from 1 species
GGCUUUUUGAAUAUUAAUUUAAGGUCCGGUCUGCCCACUGACUAUGAGUUUAAUGGCCGCAGUAUUUUAACUGUGCAAAGGUAGCAUAAUCAUUAGUCUUUUAAUUGAAGGCUUGUAUGAAUGAUUAGACGAGAUGAAAGCUGUUUCACAAGAAAAAUUAGAAUUUUAUUUUUUAGUUAAAAAGCUAAAAUUUUUUUAAAAGACGAGAAGACCCUAUAGAUCUUUAUAUUAGUUAAUUUAUUUUUGUUAGGUUUAUUUUUUAUUUAAUUUAUUAAAUAUUAUAUUGGGGUGAUAAUGAAAUUUAGAAAACUUUCAUUAGUAAAUUUACAUUGAUUUAUGUUUUUUUUUGAUCCUUUAUUAUUGAUUAUAAAUUUAAGUUACCUUAGGGAUAACAGCGUAAUUAUUUUGGAGAGUUCUUAUCGAUAAAAUAGAUUGGCGACCUCGAUGUUGGAUUAAGAUUAAUUCUGGGGGUAGUAUUUCAGAUGAUUAAGUCUGUUCGACUUUUAAUAUUUU